AAAAAAAGAAAUGUUUGAACACUUUGUUCCUAUCUGGUAGCAGCUGCUUUGGACAGUUGUGGACCUUUCAUGAGCCAGAGCCUCUAAGGAGGAAGUGGGGCUUGAGGUUUGAAGCCGGGCCCUGCUUCUUCUCUCCCUGAGUGUAUUCCUAGUGUAUCCACCCCCGUCAUGCUCCUGCUGCCAUACUUCCCAUCAUGAGGGUCAUAUCCCUUCUCAAACCAUGAGCUAAGAUAAGCCUUCUUAAGAUCAUUCACCAGGGAUUUUGUCACAUCACACACACUUGACCUAUGGCCUCCUAAAUUGGAAGCAAGAUCUCCCAAAGGUGUGUGUUCUGCUCAAAGCACUACUCACAACAGCCCCGAGGUGGAAGCAGCACAAGAGCUCAUCGAUGGACGGUGAACGACGGUGAACGCAGUUUUUCUGUAUCCACUGUGGACUAACCUUUCCCAGACAGGAAAGACAUUCUGAUGCCCAGUGCAGCAAGGGCAAACCCUGAGAGCAUUGCACUAAGUUGAGUAAAACCCAUCUCUAGAGGACAAGCUCUCGUUUACAUCUAGAGUGGCCAGAUACAUAGGCAGAAUACUAAGUGCUGAUCACCUGGUGUGGCUGGGGGUGGGGAGUUGAAUUUCAAUCUGAGGCCCACUCUGGUAGCCAGUAGCCACAUUUGCCCAACAGCAUACUUACACUCGGGGCCACUGAGCUGUUUGUUCAAUAAUGGUUAAGACGACAAAUUUUAUGUAAUGUGUAAUUCAUCGUAGUUUUAAGAGACAUUGACACCCACUCGUCCCAGGGCAGAACACUUUGCUCCAGUCUGUUGAGGAGUGCCUGCCACCAAAUAGGUUGACUCCAAGGCCAUAUCCUAGAAGUCUGCAUGGCUACAGGGAGGAGCCAAGAUGAGUGCUUCUUGAACUGCUAAGCAAGGCCACAUGCUUCCUCUCCAGGUGCAUUGUCUUCCUCCAAGAAGCCCUCCUUCCUGGUGGAGUCCCUUGUUGAUCCCUACGGACAAAAAUGGAGGACUGGGGAGAGCCGAGCCCUCCUGAGCAGGGCAGGGUAAAAAUCAGUUUUGCUUGUAUUUCUGCAUAUCUAUUGUAUGUUUCUAGGUACUGGGAUGCAGUGACAUCCAAGGCGAGCCUGGAGAAAGCCAUACACAGGGCUGAGAAGAUUGAGAUGGACCUUCAGCACAUGCAGGCCGAGGGCCUUGGCAGGGUAUCUGUAGCAGACAGAGGUUUCUGGAACCCAUGAUGGAACGUGGAGAAGGAGGAAACUAAUGUCACUCCGAUAACUGCCCAGGUUGAAGUCCCCUCCAGUCACCAUUUCACCACUGUGGUGGCCUUUUCAUACACGGUAGGUAUCUUUGCAGGGCUAUGAAGCUAGCUGUGAGCUCACACUCACUUCCUGGAGAAGAGUAACAGUCCCUCCCUCUGUCACAGCCCGGCCAGCUCUCCAGUGAGCACAUCCUCUGAUGGGGUUUCCUAUGCUGAGAUUAAAUGGUGCUCUUUGAUCUGCUUUGGAAAGCUGCUCCGAGGACAGCUUCCUUUGGUGUCAGGAUACCUCCCAACACAUAUGCUUCCUUCAUCACUGGUCUUUUUAUGGAAUGGGCUUCAGCUUUAUUCUAACUAACCGUGGAUGUUUGCCUGAAGGUGGAUUCUUUUCCCUUUUAUUUUACUUGAGGGAUGGGAAGGGGUGAGAAAUAGCUGAUCCACCAUGAUUAUAGAAGAACUUGAGACUCACAGACAGGAGGAUGUGAGCCUCAGCUCUGAGUGACCCUGGGCUUUUGCUUUAUUUCUCUGAGCCUCCAUGCUCUGAAUUAGACCCAUAUUAGGCAUGACAAACAUUUAAGAAACAGCUUUUAAGACCUGUUCAUCAGAAGGAGCUGCUGAAUGUUCACAGGGAAAUCUCUGCCUCGACCACUCAAAAUCAUCUGGAUCCAACACAGAGGAACUUUCUGGUCUUCCAGGACACAUAGCGCCAAGAAAUGAAUAGGCAGUAUCCUCUGAAAAUGUGAGCCACAGCCAACACUCUCCUCCUCACAGAUUGUUCGUCCAAGGUAUUUGUGAGGGAAACUGAAUGCUGAAGCAAAGGGUUGCUCUCUGCGUUCUAUGGCUGGACUACUGAGUCAGAAUCGUCACGGCUAAGGGCAGGGUACAGCCAAUGCUUACUGGACUUUUAACUUGGGCCAGGUGUUGUACAAAGAGACCACUGCAUGUGUCAUCUAAUCCAGUCCUCUCUGUGCUAUUACUAACCGUACUUUGCAGAGAGGUGAGACUGAAGUAGAAAGGUUAAGGAAUUUGUCAUCACCGAUCUAUAUGACAAAACCAGAGGGAGAUCUGGUUCUAGCCAACUUCAAAGCUGACUUUAGCCUCUUUCCAAGAGCCUGGAACAAAGUACUGAGUGGUUUGUGUGCUGCUGAUCUGGGAUUUCCACUUCCUCCUUGAUGUGGGGAUAACCAGGGGGCCACACAGUGGAAGGAGCGGAGAUGAGAGCAUGGGGACAACAGUCACAGAUCCACUCUGUCCCACCUGUAGUACACACCAGAGCCUUCCACAGGGACGCAUGCACAACCCACUGUCCUGCUGCUGCCAAGGCUAAACUUCUCAGGAGCUGCAGGUAUGAUAUAGGGCAGAGGAGUUUUGAUUUUUCAUAGUGGAGCAUUUUUGCCUUAGGAUCCAGCAUGAAUCCACUGGGACCAGGACAACCUGCCAAACAGAUCUGUACUGUACAUGGUCUCUGCUUGCUUGUCCCAUAGGACCUGUCUCAGAACUGAAUUUUUGUCCUCCUUCCAACUCCCCUCUUGAUGCCUAUAAAACCACUAUAUGUAUUUUCUUGUUUGUAAAAGUAACACAUGUCAAUACUGGAGAAAGCUCAAAGAGCAUGAAUACCGAUGUGUAUCAGUUACCCAUCCCUAUGUCACAGAUUAUCUGAAACCUUGCACUGUGAAGCAAACUUAAGUUCUCACAUGGCUUGAGAAUGAGAAAUCUGGGAAUGGCCUAGCUGCUGGUGUCAUGAAGGGCAGCCAGGGGGUAGGUGGAGGCUCUAGUGAUAGGGCGUGGAGAAUUUGCUUUCAGAGGGAUGCUGGCUGGGCCCUUCAUUCUUACACGUAGACUUCUCCCAAGCGCUGCUCAGAACAUGACUUUUCUAAUACCACGCACCAGAGAGUGAACAAAAACAGAACUCACAAGCUCAUUUCAAAUUGACAGUUCAUCACAUAUGCAGCAUUCUGUUGGCCAAACACUGGUCUGAGAAUGAUAUCUUAGGGGUGGGAGUGUUUCUAGCACAGUUCAUCAUCAGUGAUCGCUACUGCUUCUUGUGAAGGUUGCCAACCACAGUGGACACAUUAUAACGUUAUAAUUAACUUAAGUUUGUACCUGGAGUCCCCCUCUUCCUCUCAAAGCAUUGCAAACUGUAAAAGACCACUUGGAGGUCACAGUGAUGGGAGUGUAGUGGUAAGUGGUCGGGACCCCAACAAACUGCCUUCUGAUUGCCUUCCGAGCCCAGGGCACACUGUGUGUGGAGUAGGGAAGGGAAGAGUAAUGGCAAUAGAGUGAAUGUUGUUCUUUUCUCUUAUGGGGAAUUCAUUCCCAGAACACUCUUGGGCUCCUCAUCCCAAUAGUCUGUCAACAGACUCAUAACUGAGAAUGGCCUCAGCUUAAGUCAUCAGAUUCCUGUGGUACCCACACUGACUUCAAGCUUUUUAUACUAAAAAAAAAAAAAUUGUGUGUGUGUGUGUCUGUGUGUGUGUGUGUGUCUGUGUGUGUGUGUGCAUGCACAUGAGUACAGGUGUCUACAGAGGCCAGGGAUACCAGAUACCCCUGGAGCUGGAAUUACAGAUGGUUGUGAGCUAGCUAUCUGAUGUAGGUCCUCUAGCCUGGGCUCCAACCGUUUACCUGGGACAGGCCCUCUGUGCAUAUUUCCAUCAGCUUUAUGGUGAAAACCAUUAGAUGCUCCAUAUCAACCGUCUGAGAGCUGUGACUUCUCAUGAAGCGCCCCUAAGGGAUGAAUGUUGGUUCUUGACUCUAUACGUCAUGCAGAAAGCAGAGACACAAACCAUUUAUAAGCAGCUGCAUAUUGUGUCUGUGGUAUUACAGGUUCACAGGGAAGGUGAUUAGGAGGAGAAUGGCUUAAAGGCUAUUUGGGAAAGCAGUGGUGGAAAAACAGGUUGAAAAACACUUAAGGUCCCGAGAGGCGAAGAGUAAUUACAUAAAUUACAAAAAUAUGGUUUUUGUUCUAUCCACACUUUUUAAUAGAAGACUUCCGUUUAACAGAAAUAUCAGGGAAAAUCAAAUGAAUCUUGAGACUCUGAAUUCAGAACAAGUCACAGAUGUUAAACACAGCAAGGGAGCCCCUUAAAUAGACUGCAUUUGGGGCACUUCAUCCAUCUGAUACUCUGUGGGGAUUUUUAAAUGAAGAUACAGAAAUUCCCCAAAUGGUUUUAUUCGUACUGGUAAUAUUCACUGAAUUUGAAUUGAUAUUAGACAUCUGUGAUCAAUUAGAUUUGGUCAUUGGCUAAUUACAUACAUUUAAAACAUAUCCAAGGCAAAGAUAUUAUAGUCGAGCAUAGUAAUUCAACUAAUAUUAUGAUUGAAAAUAUUCUAAUCUUUUAUCAGUGCAGGGUAGACACAUGAAGGAAUAUUAUUUUAUUUGCACAGUUUAUAAAGAGCUUUGAUAUAAAUUCCUUUUGAUGAUUUGUUCUUCUGAAGAGCCCUGCCGUGUGGAAAUUGUUUCCCUAUUUUCAUUUUAGGCAGAAGGAAGAUGAGGUUCAGCCCUUGACUGAUCCAUCCAAUAUGACUUUACCCCAGACUGGCCAGCCAGGUUCUAGCACCGUUUUCAUCGUCCCCUUCUCUGAAGAAGUAAGCCUAACUGUACUUUUUUUUU
rnacentral:sRNA from 1 species